AGCGAACGCUGGCGGCAGGCCUAACACAUGCAAGUCGAACGAACUCUUCGGAGUUAGUGGCGGACGGGUGAGUAACACGUGGGAACGUGCCUUUAGGUUCGGAAUAACUCAGGGAAACUUGUGCUAAUACCGAAUGUGCCCUUCGGGGGAAAGAUUUAUCGCCUUUAGAGCGGCCCGCGUCUGAUUAGCUAGUUGGUAGUGUAAUGGACUACCAGGGCUACGAUCAGUAGCUGGUCUGAGAGGAUGAUCAGCCACAUUGGGACUGAGACACGGCCCAAACUCCUACGGGAGGCAGCAGUGGGGAAUCUUGCGCAAUGGGCGAAAGCCUGACGCAGCCAUGCCGCGUGAAUGAUGAAGGUCUUAGGAUUGUAAAAUUCUUUCACCGGGGACGAUAAUGACGGUACCCGGAGAAGAAGCCCCGGCUAACUUCGUGCCAGCCGCCGCAGUAAUAC
rnacentral:rRNA from 1 species